rnacentral:rRNA from 1 species
AUUGAACGCUGGCGGCAUGCCUUACACAUGCAAGUCGAACGGCAGCACGGGUGCUUGCUCCUGGUGGCGAGUGGCGAACGGGUGAGUAAUACAUCGGAACAUGUCCUGUAGUGGGGGAUAGCCCGGCGAAAGCCGGAUUAAUACCGCAUACGAUCUACGGAUGAAAGCGGGGGACCUUCGGGCCUCGCGCUAUAGGGUUGGCCGAUGGCUGAUUAGCUAGUUGGUGGGGUAAAGGCCUACCAAGGCGACGAUCAGCAGCUGGUCUGAGAGGACGACCAGCCACACUGGAACUGAGACACGGCCCAGACUCCUACGGGAGGCAGCAGUGGGGAAUUUUGGACAAUGGGCGAAAGCCUGAUCCAGCAAUGCCGCGUGUGUGAAGAAGGCCUUCGGGUUGUAAAGCACUUUUGUCCGGAAAGAAAUCCUUGGCCCUAAUACGGUCGGGGGAUGACGGUACCGGAAGAAUAAGCACCGGCUAACUACGUG